rnacentral:rRNA from 1 species
UACGUAGGUGGCGAGCGUUGUCCGGAUUUACUGGGCGUAAAGAGCGCGCAGGCGGUCGUUCAAGUCGCGUGUGAAAGCCCCCGGCUCAACUGGGGAGGGUCACGCGAUACUGAUCGACUCGAAGGCAGGAGAGGGUAGUGGAAUUCCCGGUGUAGUGGUGAAAUGCGUAGAUAUCGGGAGGAGCACCAGUGGCGAAGGCGACUACCUGGCCUGUUCUUGACGCUGAGGCGCGAAAGCUAGGGGAGCAAACGGG